UACGUAGGUGGCAAGCGUUGUCCGGAUUUAUUGGGGUUUAAAGGGUGCGUAGGCGGUUCUAUAAGUCAGUGGUGAAAUCCGGCAGCUCAACUGUCGAUGUGCCAUUGAUACUGCAGAACUUGAGUACAGGCGAGGUAGGCGGAAUUGACGGUGUAGCGGUGAAAUGGCUUAGAUAUCGUCAAGAACACCGAUAGCGAAGGCAGCUUACUAGACUGUAACUGACGCUGAUGCACGAA
rnacentral:rRNA from 1 species